rnacentral:tRNA from 1 species
GCCUGGGUGGCUCAGUCGGUUAAGCGUCCGACUUCGGCUCAGGUCAUGAUCUCGCGGUCUGUGGGUUCGAGCCCCACAUCGGGCU